UGCAGUCGAGCGGUAGAGAGAAGCUUGCUUCUCUUGAGAGCGGCGGACGGGUGAGUAAUGCCUAGGAAUCUGCCUGGUAGUGGGGGAUAACGCUCGGAAACGGACGCUAAUACCGCAUACGUCCUACGGGAGAAAGCAGGGGACCUUCGGGCCUUGCGCUAUCAGAUGAGCCUAGGUCGGAUUAGCUAGUUGGUGAGGUAAUGGCUCACCAAGGCGACGAUCCGUAACUGGUCUGAGAGGAUGAUCAGUCACACUGGAACUGAGACACGGUCCAGACUCCUACGGGAGGCAGCAGUGGGGAAUAUUGGACAAUGGGCGAAAGCCUGAUCCAGCCAUGCCGCGUGUGUGAAGAAGGUCUUCGGAUUGUAAAGCACUUUAAGUUGGGAGGAAGGGCAUUAACCUAAUACGUUGGUGUCUUGACGUUACCGACAGAAUAAGCACCGGCUAACUCUGUGCCAGCAGCCGCGGUAAUACAGAGGGUGCAAGCGUUAAUCGGAAUUACUGGGCGUAAAGCGCGCGUAGGUGGUUCGUUAAGUUGGAUGUGAAAUCCCCGGGCUCAACCUGGGAACUGCAUUCAAAACUGACGAGCUAGAGUAUGGUAGAGGGUGGUGGAAUUUCCUGUGUAGCGGUGAAAUGCGUAGAUAUAGGAAGGAACACCANUGGCGAANGCGACCACCUGGACUGA
rnacentral:rRNA from 1 species